rnacentral:rRNA from 1 species
UACGAAGGGGGCUAGCGUUGCUCGGAAUCACUGGGCGUAAAGCGCACGUAGGCGGCUCUUUAAGUCAGGGGUGAAAUCCUGGAGCUCAACUCCAGAACUGCCUUUGAUACUGGGGAUCUCGAGUCCGGAAGAGGUGAGUGGAACUCCGAGUGUAGGGGUGAAAUUCGUAGAUAUUCGGAAGAACACCAGUGGCGAAGGCGGCUCACUGGUCCGGUACUGACGCUGAGGUGCGAAAGCGUGGGGAGCAAACAGG